GCUCCGGAGAGGGCGCGCUCACAUGCGUGCCCACCCUCUCCGCACCUCCUCAACACUCUCCCUUCCUCGGCUGCCAGUCCAGCUGCCUUAGAAUGUCAGAAGGUGACAUUUUCAGUUCUUUUCCCGUCCGAACUGCAGGAUACAGGACAGGCAGCCCUAAGUGCUGCUUUCUGCGCAAAUGUUUUUUGAUUACAAAUAUCUAACUAGGUUUGAAAUGUUUUAUAGAAUAAGACAAUAUUCUUUUCAACAAACUUUAAAAAAAAAUGUACAGUUUUGAGAUUGGAAGAGCG